rnacentral:rRNA from 1 species
UAGGGAAUCUUCGGCAAUGGGGGGAACCCUGACCGAGCAACGCCGCGUGAGUGAAGAAGGUUUUCGGAUCGUAAAGCUCUGUUGUUAAGGAAGAACGAGUGUGAGAAUGGAAAGUUCAUGCUGUGACGGUACUUAACCAGAAAGGGACGGCUAACUACGUGCCAGCAGUCGCGGUAAUACGUAGGUCCCGAGCGUUGUCCGGAUUUAUUGGGCGUAAAGCGAGCGCAGGCGGUUAGAAAAGUCUGAAGUGAAAGGCAGUGGCUCAACCAUUGUAGGCUUUGGAAACUGUUUAACUUGAGUGCAGAAGGGGAGAGUGGAAUUCCAUGUGUAGCGGUGAAAUGCGUAGAUAUAUGGAGGAACACCGGUGGCGAAAGCGGCUCUCUGGUCUGUAACUGACGCUGAGGCUCGAAAGCGUGGGUAGCAAACAGG